UACGGGGGGAGCAAGCGUUGUUCGGAUUUACUGGGCGUAAAGGGCGCGUAGGCGGUCAGCACAAGUCAGUUGUGAAAUCUCCGGGCUUAACUCGGAAAGGUCAACUGAUACUGUGCGACUAGAGUGCAGAAGGGGCAACUGGAAUUCUCGGUGUAGCGGUGAAAUGCGUAGAUAUCGAGAGGAACACCUGCGGCGAAGGCGGGUUGCUGGGCUGACACUGACGCUGAUGCGCGAAAGCCAGGG
rnacentral:rRNA from 1 species